UACAGGAGGGUCAAGCGUUAAUCGGAAUUACUGGGCGUAAAGGGUGCGUAGGUGGUUUUAUAAGUUAGGUGUGAAAGCCCCGGGCUUAACCUGGGAAUUGCGCUUAAGACUAUAAGGCUAGAGUACUGUAGAGGGAAGUGGAAUUUCCGGUGUAGCGGUGAAAUGCGUAGAUAUCGGAAGGAACACCAGUGGCGAAGGCGGCUCACUGGCCCGGUACUGACGCUGAGGUGCGAAAGCGUGGGGAGCAAACAGGG
rnacentral:rRNA from 1 species